rnacentral:rRNA from 1 species
GAUGAACGCUGGCGGCGUGCCUAAUACAUGCAAGUCGAGCGAACGGACGAGAAGCUUGCUUCUCUGAUGUUAGCGGCGGACGGGUGAGUAACACGUGGAUAACCUACCUAUAAGACUGGGAUAACUUCGGGAAACCGGAGCUAAUACCGGAUAAUAUUUUGAACCGCAUGGUUCAAAAGUGAAAGACGGUCUUGCUGUCACUUAUAGAUGGAUCCGCGCUGCAUUAGCUAGUUGGUAAGGUAACGGCUUACCAAGGCAACGAUGCAUAGCCGACCUGAGAGGGUGAUCGGCCACACUGGAACUGAGACACGGUCCAGACUCCUACGGGAGGCAGCAGUAGGGAAUCUUCCGCAAUGGGCGAAAGCCUGACGGAGCAACGCCGCGUGAGUGAUGAAGGUCUUCGGAUCGUAAAACUCUGUUAUUAGGGAAGAACAUAUGUGUAAGUAACUGUGCACAUCUUGACGGUACCUAAUCAGAAAGCCACGGCUAACUACGUGCCAGCAGCCGCGGUAAUACGUAGGUGGCAAGCGUUAUCCGGAAUUAUUGGGCGUAAAGCGCGCGUAGGCGGUUUUUUAAGUCUGAUGUGAAAGCCCACGGCUCAACCGUGGAGGGUCAUUGGAAACUGGAAAACUUGAGUGCAGAAGAGGAAAGUGGAAUUCCAUGUGUAGCGGUGAAAUGCGCAGAGAUAUGGAGGAACACCAGUGGCGAAGGCGACUUUCUGGUCUGUAACUGACGCUGAUGUGCGAAAGCGUGGGGAUCAAACAGGAUUAGAUACCCUGGUAGUCCACGCCGUAAACGAUGAGUGCUAAGUGUUAGGGGGUUUCCGCCCCUUAGUGCUGCAGCUAACGCAUUAAGCACUCCGCCUGGGGAGUACGACCGCAAGGUUGAAACUCAAAGGAAUUGACGGGGACCCGCACAAGCGGUGGAGCAUGUGGUUUAAUUCGAAGCAACGCGAAGAACCUUACCAAAUCUUGACAUCCUUUGACAACUCUAGAGAUAGAGCCUUCCCCUUCGGGGGACAAAGUGACAGGUGGUGCAUGGUUGUCGUCAGCUCGUGUCGUGAGAUGUUGGGUUAAGUCCCGCAGCGAGCGCAACCCUUAAGCUUAGUUGCCAUCAUUAAGUUGGGCACUCUAAGUUGACUGCCGGUGACAAACCGGAGGAAGGUGGGGAUGACGUCAAAUCAUCAUGCCCCUUAUGAUUUGGGCUACACACGUGCUACAAUGGACAAUACAAAGGGCAGCGAAACCGCGAGGUCAAGCAAAUCCCAUAAAGUUGUUCUCAGUUCGGAUUGUAGUCUGCAACUCGACUACAUGAAGCUGGAAUCGCUAGUAAUCGUAGAUCAGCAUGCUACGGUGAAUACGUUCCCGGGUCU